CAGUAGCCGCGGUAAUACGGAGGGUGCAAGCGUUAUCCGGAUUCACUGGGUUUAAAGGGUGCGUAGGCGGGCAGGUAAGUCAGUGGUGAAAUCUUCGAGCUUAACUCGGAAACUGCCGUUGAUACUAUCUGUCUUGAAUAACGUUGAGGUGAGCGGAAUAUGUCAUGUAGCGGUGAAAUGCUUAGAUAUGACAUAGAACACCGAUUGCGAAGGCAGCUCACUAAACGCUCAUUGACGCUGAGGCACGAAAGCGUGGGGAUCAAACAGGAUUAGAUACCCCAGUAGUCCCUGUCUCUUAUAC
rnacentral:rRNA from 1 species